GCGGGCGUGGCGAAACUGGCAGACGCGUCGGAUUUAGGUUCCGAUGGGGAAACUCAUGGGGGUUCAAGUCCCUCCGCCCGCACCA
rnacentral:tRNA from 1 species